ensembl:lncRNA
GGCUUAUUAAACUUUAAUGUAAAUGCGUGCAAACAGAGGAAACUUGCACGCAGAAUACAAAUAACAAGGUGCCAGCCGUGGGGGUUUUGCAGCACUGUUUUUCACUCCACUUCUUUGACCACCUCCCAAAAACGUGUAGUGUGUGUGGUCAGAGAGCCCUUAUGCGUGGCUGCUCCUAUUCAGCACAGAGUAAAGCACAUCUCGUUGGAAGUCCCGUUGGGAUGGAGAUAGGAAAGCGCAGAGGGCAAAUUCAUUCAACCACGAGUUGGACUCCACGAUCCUUAUGGGUCUCUUCCAGCUUGAGUUUUUCUAUGAUUUCUGCCAGCCUUUGCCAGCAUGAAGGUCAGCACGGGCCCUGCCCCUUGCCAUAGGCAGUGCUUUACAUCAUCUCACCCUAUGGACCCACCCAGCUCUUCGGCACGUUCUGCUGGCCAGCUCUCAUCAGUCAGUGUCAGUAAAUGCGGUGUGGGACUGCGGAGUGCCCAGAGGGGUUCCAACCUGCUAUAGUGCAGCCUGCAUUAGGCUUCAGUGUGCUGAGCACUACUGAAGGGCUCUUGCCCCAAAUCCAUCUGCUUUAGCUGAGGUGCUGCUGAAAGAUAGGGAGAGGUGGAUUUAGCAUGCAGCCAGUGCCUGGCUGAUGAGCUCUUGUUGUAUUCUCACAAUGUGGACACGUUCUUUUGCUUCUUUUCUUUUGCCCUCCCUGCAGCAAUACAAGGAUCGCAUCACCACCAAUAUAAACGUGCACAUACUACACCCACAGCCACGGCGUGAGCUGCAGCCACUGCUGCUAUGAAUUUCCCGAGCACUGCUGGGAGCACUCAUUGCAAGGGGAAGAACUCAAAGCAACAGCAGCAGCCCGGGGCCACAGGAGGUGAGAAAACCCUCUGCACAUCAGCUGAGAUAUCACAGCAAUGAGGCUUGUGAGGGCUUUUCCUUUUUCCCUACGGACAAAAUCCAGCUGCUGUUAUUCAUAUUUCUCACGGCUGAAGAUUGCAGCGAGUUGAUGGAUGCGGCGAAGAUGAAGUCUGAAGGGAUCAGUGGAAUUGGCACUUGGCUUAAAAAAGAUGGAUAAGGCAUACGAAACACCCUGCAUAUUCCUUUGGUCACAAAAAGAGCCCGCCAGGGUUUGGGUUUAUUUUUGCUGACCCUCUUCUACAUAGUAGAAAGAUAGGGGGAAUGAUAACAUUCCUUUUGUUACCUUCCCGUAAGGCAAAAAUAGAGCUGUGUCCAUAGAUACUUUUACACUGAGAAGUGACUCGGCCAGAUCAGACUGAAGAUCAGUGGCCUACAUUUCCCAGGCUUAAAACUGCACAAGUGGAUAUUAGGGUAUGAUUCAGGUUGGAUAUGAGGAACAAUUUCUUCUCAGAGAGAGCGGUGCUGCAUUGGCACAGCUGCACAGGGAGGCGGUAAAGUCUCCAUCCCUGGAGGUGUCUGAGAGCCGUGGGGAUGUGGCACUGAGGGAGGUGGGCAGUGGGCAUGGGGGUGGGGUGGGGGGGUGGGUCAGCAGUUGGGCUGGGUGGUUUUAAUGGGCUUUUCCAACCUUAAUGAUUCUACGAUUGGUGAGAUCCAGAUGUUUGACACUGGAUUUUGGGCUGUGUGCAGGUUAUGAGCCAGGGCACCAGCAGUCCGGUGCCAGCUUUGUGCAAUUAGCAGCCAUCUCUGUUUAGGAACACGAAGCGUGCAACCUUCCUUCUGUGCAGCAUUUAGCACUGCCAAAGCUUUAACGAGGGAUCAAGUGUGAGAAACCCUCUUCACCUGCCUUGACAUUAACUAAAGAAGCUAUUAGUACCAUAAGCAUUUUACCUUGUUGUUUCAAGCCUCGCUGCAGUGUUUUGUACAACUUGAGUGCAAAUAGAGACCCCGUGGCUUUUGUCAAAAUACUGAAUGCAGAG